GAAUUCACUAGUGAUUCUUGGACUUUAGAGGAAGUAAAAGUCGUAACAAGGUUUCCGUAGGCGGAACAUUGCGUCCUUUCGGGUACAUCUGCUGAAACCUUAGUGAAUUGAUUAGGCGACUCUAAACAAGUAUAAUCCUCGGGGCUUGCCCUUGAGCACUAGCCAUUUCUUUUAGAUGGCAACAUUACCAGUAUGCGGGAACAUUCAACUAAGUUGGAUAACCCGCAGUCACAUUUGUGGCCCACAGGCUAAAUGGUAAUGGGCAUAGAUGCAAGGCAGCUAUGCUUCAGAUAUAGUCGGUCCCCAGAUACCUCUGGGAAACUUGUGGACUUGGUGGCGGAGCUCCUUCGAAAUCAAUUUCCACGAGCGAGUAAACGUUCCGUAGGUGAACCUGCGGAAGGAUCAUUA
rnacentral:rRNA from 1 species